rnacentral:lncRNA from 10 species
ACCUGUCUGCUCUCUGGCCUGCCUCAGUGGUCUACAGCAGUUACACACAGGCAGUGGUAUCUGUGAGCAGCUCUGUGGACUCAAAGGUUUUCUCCCUGAGAGGCAUGACCCAGGCCAGCUGAUUCAUCAGAAUCAGAUGAGACGUCUGGGGUCAGAGAGGCAGUAACCGGCCUGGGAAUCCGGACAUGACCCUGAGUUUUGCUCUCAGCCCUGCCGUGUGCUGUGCUGGAAUUCAGGCCUGAACCCUGUGACCUCCCUGCCCUAGAUCCCAAAUCUGCCCAGGUUUCCCAUCCCGAUGGGGCAGAGCCUGGUCCUGGCAGAGCCACUGGUAUAGAGCCACUGGUACAGAUCCACUGACGGUCCUCAGAACACCUCUGUGCCCUAAGCUGGGUCCUGAUGGUCGCUGUGGGCCCCACUGAACACACAUGGUCCCUUGUCCGGGGGAGCCUGCUGCCCUUGGGCAGCUGUGGAAAAUGAAGGAGCCCUGGAGGGCUGGCUGAGGGGAGACUAUCUUCCCUUGUGUUCAAAGGGGUCCGGGCACUAGGGUUCUCCCCAGGUAUUUCUUGCUCUGCGUGGUCCUCUUGAGGCCUCGCCCUCCUUUUGCCUCGAGUAUUCCCAGGAGGGACGGUCCAUCCAGCUGUUCUCCAGGACCAAGGACCCACUGUUCUUCCUCAGUGACCCAGGAAAAUGAAGCCUCCUCCUGUUGGGACGGCUCAGAAUGGUGGACUCCACAGUCCCUCCGCGAGAGACGUGGU